rnacentral:rRNA from 1 species
GUAAACGCCUUGCCGCGAGCCGGGAUAUAUCGAGGGGAGCGAGCGUUGUUCGGAGUGAUUGGUGUUAAAGGGUGGGAAGGGGGUGUGGUAGGCAAGUGGUGAAAUCCAAUGGCUUAACCCUGGGACUGCUCUUGAGACGGGCUGUCUGGAGUGCGGAAGAGGUGAGUGGAACUCCUGGUGUAGAGGUGAAAUUCGCAGAUAUUGGGAAGAACACCGGUGGCGAAGGCAAGCAACUGGGCCGACAUUGACACUGAGGCACGAAAGCGUGGGUAGCAAACAGGAUUAGAUACCCUGGUAGUC